rnacentral:tRNA from 1 species
UGGGGUGUAGCUCAGGGGUAGAGAGCACUUGCCUAGUGUGCAAGAGGGCCUGGGUUCCAUCUCCAGCACUGCAA